rnacentral:rRNA from 1 species
AAAGGGUUCGUAGUGACCUGCGGAGGAUCAUUCA